GUUAAGGCAAAUGAGUAGGGCAUGGCGAGAUCAUGAGGAGUGAUGAAGACCACUCCUGCUCCGGCACCAUAACUUCGGGCUGCCCCAUCGAAGUAUAGCCUCCAUGAUGGUAUGAUUUCGGUGAAUAGAACUUCUUCAUCGGGAAGGUCUUCUUGAAGUUCCCAUUCCGUUGGAAUUGGGUGGUCAGCAAGGAAAUCCGCCAAAGCUUGUCCUUUAAUGGCCUUUUGUGGAAUGAAUUUGAU
rnacentral:lncRNA from 1 species